rnacentral:rRNA from 1 species
GAUGAACGCUGGCGGCGUGCCUAAUACAUGCAAGUCGAGCGAACAGAUAAGGAGCUUGCUCCUUUGACGUUAGCGGCGGACGGGUGAGUAACACGUGGGUAACCUACCUAUAAGACUGGGAUAACUUCGGGAAACCGGAGCUAAUACCGGAUAAUAUUUCGAACCGCAUGGUUCGAUAGUGAAAGAUGGUUUUGCUAUCACUUAUAGAUGGACCCGCGCCGUAUUAGCUAGUUGGUAAGGUAACGGCUUACCAAGGCAACGAUACGUAGCCGACCUGAGAGGGUGAUCGGCCACACUGGAACUGAGACACGGUCCAGACUCCUACGGGAGGCAGCAGUAGGGAAUCUUCCGCAAUGGGCGAAAGCCUGACGGAGCAACGCCGCGUGAGUGAUGAAGGUCUUCGGAUCGUAAAACUCUGUUAUUAGGGAAGAACAUACGUGUAAGUAACUGUGCACGUCUUGACGGUACCUAAUCAGAAAGCCACGGCUAACUACGUG